rnacentral:hammerhead_ribozyme from 1 species
GCACUGCUGAAGAGUCCCACCAUGGGACGAAACGGUCGUCUAGUGC